AUGGAAGGUUUACAAAGAUCUGCAGUUUCCUUCAGGAGACAAGGCUCAUCAGGAUUUGUUUGGGAUGAUCGGUUUCUACAAGAAGAAAUCAACAAAAUGAACCAGAAUAAUCAAGAUCAAGGGAAAGACGAAAUCAAAGAGAUGAUGAGUCGUGAUGAACCACCGCAGCUUGGAUCGGUUAAUACUGUGCAGAGAAGUCGUUCUAAUGCUGGAGGUCGGGGUUAUCGGACGGGAAAAGUUUCGCCGGCGAUUGAGCCGCCGUCUCCGAGGAUCUCUGCGUGUGGAUUCUGUGGGGCUUUUGGGAAAGUUGGGGAGAAAAGGAAACCGCCUAAGCAUCGAUCUAGGUAA